UAAUGGAAAAAAUAUUAAAGAAAAAUUAUACAAAAAAUGACGAGAAUUUUACCGGGGAGCGAUCCACAGCAUUCAUGGAAGAUUGCGUCAGUCUUUACCACUAUACCAUGAUGUCAACGAUGGAAGCAGGUAACAGAUUACACGACGUCAGUUUUCUUUUUCCCGUUGUACUAGCUGUAUGUAGAUUUUUUGGAUUUCACCCCACAUAUAGGAUUCUCUUCAUCCUUGUUCAUCUUUGUUCAUCCCUCGUCAUCUUUGGUUAAAUCGACUCAAAAUUGUCC